rnacentral:rRNA from 1 species
CAGUCGCCGCGGUAAUACGGAGGGUGCAAGCGUUAAUCGGAAUUACUGGGCGUAAAGCGCACGCAGGCGGUCUGUCAAGUCAGAUGUGAAAUCCCCGGGCUUAACCUGGGAACUGCAUUUGAAACUGGCAGGCUAGAGUCUUGUAGAGGGGGGUAGAAUUCCAGGUGUAGCGGUGAAAUGCGUAGAGAUCUGGAGGAAUACCGGUGGCGAAGGCGGCCCCCUGGACAAAGACUGACGCUCAGGUGCGAAAGCGUGGGGAGCAAACAGGAUUAGAUACCCGGGUAGUCCCUGUCUCUUAUAU